rnacentral:lncRNA from 1 species
UCGCAAUUUACACAUACACUACAGCUCACAGUGCACUCGUAAAAACACAUAAUUCUCACACGAACUUAAAUUCUUGUAUACACUGUUUCAAGCAUACUGAUCCACCUUCAUACAACUAGCCCCAUAAAUAAAUAAUAUACUAAAUCCAGAUAACACAAUCCCCACUUUACUGCUGUUAAAACUUUUGGGUUCAUGUUUCUAACUCUAGAUUAUAUGUUAUCAUAGGACUCGGGGAAAGGAUCUGAGAG